AACACUUGUCAAUUGGUCAAAUAGAAGAGGCAAAACACAGGCCUAUACACUCCUUUUCCCGUCCCCAAUUGUCCUUGGCAAGAUGUUAGUAUGGAUUUUGUGUUAGGACUUUCACGCACCCUAAAGAAACAUGAUUUUAUUUUUGUGGUUGUCGAUCGUUUCUCGAAAAUGGCUCAUUUUAUCCCCUAUAGUAAGACCUCAGAUGCAUCCAAGGUUGCCAUAUUGUUCUUUAAUGAGAUUGUCAAAUUGUAUGGGCUUCCUAAGACCAUUGUGUCCGAUAGGGAUGUUCGUUUCACUAGCCAUUUUUGGAGAACUUUGUGGCAAAAGAUGGGGACCAAGUUGAAAUUUUCUACGGCCUACCACCCUUAGACGGACGGUUAAACUGAAGUAGUUAAUUGUAGUCUUAGUAAUUUGUUACGAUGUCUGGGCCGGGAAAAUCUUCGAAAUUGGAAUUUGAUCCUUCCUACAGCUCAAAUUGCGUAUAGCAGUUCCAUGAAUCGUUCUUUAGGUAUGAGUCCAUUUGAAGCUGUUCAUGUGUAUAAGCCUAGGAAGCCAUUAGAUCCCAUUCCUAUGUCUCCACAGGCUAGAGUGUCAGUGUCAGCCGAAGCAUGUGCACAACAUCUUCAUGAUUUGCAUAUUGAGAUCAAUAAACAACUUGAAGUCAGUAAUGCAAAAUAUAAACUCCAAGAUGAUUUGCAUAAACGGCAUGUUGAAUUUAACAUUGGGGAUUACAUUAUGGUUCGAAUUAGGCCAGAGCGGCAUCUACAUGGACCCGCCUCCAAAUUGCAAGCCUGUAGUGCUGAUCCUUUUAAAAUUUUAAAGCAAGUUGGUCCAAAAGCAUAUGUUGUUGACAUUACAUCACUCCUUGGUUACCACUCUACUUUCAAUAUUGAGGACCUGGUAGCUUAUAAAUGCCAUUUCAUUCCCUCAUAUGAUCCUCUAUUACCUCCUUUUGUGGACCUUAAUCCUGAUUCUUUGACCUCUUCUAACCCGCUACCACCUCUCCCAGCACACAAAAAUAAAAUUGAUGAUAUUUUAUAUGAAGAAAUUGUGUUAACUAAUGAUGGAAAGUUUCAGCGCUUCCUUGUUAUUUGGGUUGGUCGACCAGAUUCUGACUGUACAUGGAUCUCUAGAAAGACAUAACAGCAAUUGGAUCUAGAUUUAUUGAAGUUUUAUCGGAGUCAGCAAGAUCUUCCUUGACCCAAAUCGCCUCCCAUCCACCCAAGGGGAGUUGGUAAGGACACCAGACCUCCACUGACACAUUUCUACACAUGUCGGAGGAAGUUUGCCCAACCAUUCAACUUAUGAUUAGGAGAUUGACUAUAACCUAUAUUGAU
rnacentral:lncRNA from 1 species